ensembl:lncRNA
CUUACUUUAAACUGCCCUGUUUUUGUCUGAGGUGUAACCUGGUAACAAUCCCACCUUACUGCUGUGAAGUGUCUAAUUCAGUCUGAAGAUCAACAUGAUCUGAGAUGCUGAAUCAAUAGAAAAAUAGAUAAUUCCCAAAAUAACAAACAUUUUUGUUAAGUAUACUUCAGUGAAAAUCAGAAAUGAGAAGAUUUUCAAGGAGAUCAUUCCAGAGAAUGCUGGCAACAGGACCUGUAAUCUCAUAAACGAAUUUAUAAAGCUGUCAACAAGGACUUGGUGCAGAUCAGCUGCAUAGAAGCAGUUCACACCCAGGGAGCCUUCACAGAAAGCCUUUGUUCUUCUGGUAAGAGUGCAUUGCCAAACAAGAAUGCAAUCAACUGCAGACUUCUGCCUAUUCCUUAAAGGCUGGUCCGGCCCGGUUCCGUGACUAGUGGAGUGGAGGGAUUUCGCAAAAUCUGCGCCUCCAGGAAGGGAAACAGGGGACCCCAAAAUAAUUAAAAACAGCGGCAACGAUCUGAGGAGAAACAAACUAAUUUACUAAAUAUAGUAUCGGAAUGUAAGAUAACACACUAUAAUACAAUAUAAAUCAACAAUAAUUGAGAGAAAGAUUGUCUGAGAGCCAAAGGCCUUACGCUAAUACUGAAGCCUUGCAUGCAGUCGGGAACAGCAGUAGUGAGCCUAUCCAACAGGGAACACGGCGAGACGAGAAGAGGGCCGAGUCAGAUGACCUGCACCCUUAUAUCUGUUCCCCUAAGCAGGAAUGAUAACAGUACUCGAAAAGUCUCUUGGGGACCAUAGUUCUUCUUCUCUUCCAGACAGGUAUCCGG